AAGAUUAAGCCAUGCAUGUCUAGGUACGAGCCUCCGUACAAAGCGAAACUGCGAAUGGCUCAUUAAAUCAGUUAUGGUUCCUUUGAUCGUUACCCAUUACUCGGAUAACUGUGGUAAUUCUAGAGCUAAUACGUGCGAAUGAGCGCCGACCUCGCGGGAGGCGUGCUUUUAUUAGGACCAAGACCAAUACGGGUCUUCGUGGCCCGGUCCCAAUGGCGAAUUCUGGAUAACUUGGCGGAUCGCACGGCCUCGGCGCCGGCGAUGAGUCUUUCGAGUGUCUGCCCUAUCAACUUUCGAUGGUACGUUAUGCGCCUACCAUGGUUGUAACGGGUAACGGGGAAUCAGGGUUCGAUUCCGGAGAGGGAGCCUGAGAAACGGCUACCACAUCCAAGGAAGGCAGCAGGCGCGCAAAUUACCCAUUCCCGACACGGGGAGGUAGUGACGAAAAGUAACAUACGGAUCUUUCAGGCCCUGUAAUUGGAAUGACCUCCUAAAAUCCUUAAGGAGCGAUUUGUUGGUUAAUUCCGAUAACGAACGAGACUCUGGCUUGUAAAUAGUUACGCGACCCGACGGGUCGGCGUUCAACUUCUUAGAGGGACAAGUGGCGUUUAGUCACGCGAGAUUGAGCAAUAACAGGUCUGUGAUGCCCUUAGAUGUCCGGGGCCGCACGCGCGCUACACUGAAAGAAUCAGCGGGCGUCACCUCCCUGGCCGCCGGGUCUGGGUAAUCCGAUGAACCCCUUUCGUGCUAGGGAUAGGGAAUUGUAAUUAUUUCCCUUGAACGAGGAAUUCCCAGUAAGCGCGAGUCAUAAGCUCGCGUUGAUUACGUCCCUGCCCUUUGUACACACCGCCCGUCGCUACUACCGAUUGAAUGGUUUAGUGAGAUCUUCGGAUCGGCCGCGUCGGGGUCGUUCGCGGCCUCGCUCGUUGCGCCGAGAAGAUGAUCAAACUUGAUCAUUUAGAGGAAGUAAAAGU
rnacentral:rRNA from 1 species